AUCCGUCCCAGUGAAGAAUCCAACUCAUUGUAUUUUUAUUUUAUUUUUUAUUGGUACAAGAUAAUUUCAUUUGUAUUAUCACUUUGUUCCCAUUCCACAAACUAGUAUUUUUAAGUUAUAUGUUGUUUUUGGUCUUUGUUUUACAAGAUCAGAAAUACAUGUUAACCACUAAAAUAUUCUGACAAAUGAAGUGUUGUCUCAUUUCAGUGUAGAGUCUCUGUGAAUGUCAUUGUUCAUUGAACAGUCUCUGCCUCCUGUAGCGUUAAGGGAGAGCUGUAAUCCACAAAUCUUUUUUUUAAUGUUAACUUUCCCAUAAAAAUUUUAAAUUUCUCAAAUGGGGUCUGUGGAUUAUCCAGAGUUUAUUCCAGUACAGUGUACACUGUGGUGCUGAAACAAUGUAUUUAAAUUAAAAUUUGAUAGUGAAUUGCUAGAAUUAUUUAUCCAGAAAAAUAGGCAAACGCGCUGGCUCCAGCUUGUCAAAUGCAAGUACUUGCUUUUCUCUUUUUUUUUUUUUUUUUUUAUCUCAUUGGUAAGUGAAUAUCUUUGGAUUGUGGAUUUCAUUUUGAAGACAUUCACCUUGUGCUGUUGGAAAUUUAAAUAGGCCUUUUUUUCCCUUUUUAAAACUAUUUUGGGACAUUUUAAAGACCAAUGGAUUAAUACUAAUCCUAGUAGGUUGACCAGAUAAACAGCCACAGAACAGCCUGAAGACAAUGAUAAUGCUAUAUUGUGAAGUAAUGUAUCUUUGAGAAAAAGAUUUAACUUACAGGGUUUUCACUAGAUGACAUUAGAUUUGAUUAGAUUAGAUUUGGAUGUCUGGAUAAGUAACACAAACAAUAUUUAAAGUAGUGUAGUUAUUUGUUGUUUAUAUCACAUUUAAGCAGUAGCAACUUAAUUGACCAAGUGUUUUUAAAACAUUGAAGAAUUUGACUGGUACUUUCACACUGAUACAUACAAACUGGAGUCAGGCACAAACAGCUAGCUUAACUCUGUCUAAAUUCACCUACCAACAACUUGAAAGCUCAGUAACAUGUUGCCACAUGUUUGUUCCCUACAUAAAAAUGAGCCUCCCCCAGGCAUGGUGAAAGUCAGAUUUUAGAAUCAUUCCCUGAUGCUCAGAUGGUGAACGGUGUAUGAGAAGUUUUUAAAGACGGCGGACCCUUGAGGAUGUCCUGCCCAUGGAUUUGCUUGAGUCUGCUCUAUGCUGCUACCUUCCUACGAAGCAGUGCCUCAUCAAAUAAUGGAGUAUCACUGAAGUGCACCAACACAACAGUGGAAGUUGUAGCUGGAGAAAAUGUGACACUAAACUGCAGUAUUUAUUACUCAGGAAUGACAGACUGUAAGUGUCUAAGUUACAUGUGUCUAAACACACAUGUGCUAUGUAAAAGUGACUGUGAAUCGGAUAAUCAGACUUAUGUCUCACCAACCAUCCUGAAUGUCACGAAGGAGGACAAUUACACUGUUCUGAUAAAGACAGACUGUGGUCAUGCUGAAUCUGCCAUCAAAGUACAACUUAAAAAUGUAACCUUGUCACCACGGAAUUCUGAGCAGCCCACCAAGCCCGAUGGGACACCGUUCGUGCGAGCCAUUUUGGGCAUUUUCUUCAUCCUUAUUGUUUUGGGCAUUUAAUAUUUCCUGUUAGAAACUGGCAGAAAGAAGAAAAAGACCCCAGUGACACUGCCUGACAAAUUUAGAAAAUUGGAGGGGGGGGGGGGGGAUUGUAGCUAGGUAAUAUAGCUCAUACAUAGGAACCCUGUGUAUCAGUUAGGAACAUACAGUCUAUGGUUAGGAGUCCCCUUUAAAGAGGUGGUAUUAUGGUUUUUGGCUUUUUCCCUCUCCUUUAUUGAGUUAUAUACCUUUUUUGUGCAUGUAAUAGGUUUGCAAAGUGAAAAAGUCCAAAGUCCACCCCAAAGGGAGUUCCCAUCUCCCACAGAAAACUCUGCUCUGAACUGCCUGAAAACAGCUCAGACGUAGUCCAGCCUUUACUUCCCUUUCUUGUGACGUCAUAAUGCUCACUGAGCAAUUGGUCCGACACGCCCUCAAAAACACCGGUGGAAAAACACUGUGCUGCAGCACACGCCUCUCCUCUCACUUCCAAACACUAGCUACCCUCCAACCAGUCAAUACAUACUGUGAUGUAGAGACAGAGCUCAGUUAAAACCAUAGACUGUAUAUAAGAAAUGGACGUAGUCAGCGUGACGUCACCCAUUGGUUUGUGGACUGCCAUUCUGAAGCCUCGAGUUUGGCCGAUAGGGCGCCGCCAUAUUGAGUUUUUGCAACCAGGAAGUGCCUGGAAGUGACAAUACGGCGAAGCUAACGGCCGUGUGCGGAGCUAGCUAGCUUGCUUAGCUAGGUGCAACUGUAACUCACGUUAACUGUCAACAUGGCUGAUAACUUUGUCUAGCGAACAACAAUCUUAAAACUAAAUGU